AGAGUUUGAUCCUGGCUCAGGAUGAACGCUAGCGGCAGGCCUAAUACAUGCAAGUCGAACGGGAUCCAAGGUAAAGCUUGCUUUAUUUUGGUGAGAGUGGCGCACGGGUGCGUAACGCGUGAGCAACCUACCCAUAUCAGGGGGAUAGCCCGGCGAAAGUCGGAUUAACACCGCAUAACAAUACGGGAUCGCAUGAUUCUGUAUUUAAAUAUUUAUAGGAUAUGGAUGGGCUCGCGUGACAUUAGCUAGUUGGUAAGGUAACGGCUUACCAAGGCUACGAUGUCUAGGGGCUCUGAGAGGAGAAUCCCCCACACUGGUACUGAGACACGGACCAGACUCCUACGGGAGGCAGCAGUAAGGAAUAUUGGGCAAUGGGCGAGAGCCUGACCCAGCCAUGCCGCGUGCAGGAAGACGGUCCUAUGGAUUGUAAACUGCUUUUAUACGGGAAGAAACACUCCGACGCGUCGGAGCUUGACGGUACCGUAAGAAUAAGGAUCGGCUAACUCCGUGCCAGCAGCCGCGGUAAUACGGAGGAUCCAAGCGUUAUCCGGAAUCAUUGGGUUUAAAGGGUCCGUAGGCGGGUCUAUAAGUCAGUGGUGAAAUCCGGCAGCUCAACUGUCGAACUGCCAUUGAUACUGUAGGUCUUGAAUUUUUGUGAAGUAGCUAGAAUAUGUAGUGUAGCGGUGAAAUGCUUAGAUAUUACAUGGAAUACCGAUUGCGAAGGCAGGUUACUAACAAAACAUUGACGCUGAGGGACGAAAGCGUGGGUAGCGAACAGGAUUAGAUACCCUGGUAGUCCACGCUGUAAACGAUGGAUACUAGCUGUUGGUUGUACAUUGGUAUGAUCAGUGGCUAAGCGAAAGUGAUAAGUAUCCCACCUGGGGAGUACGAACGCAAGUUUGAAACUCAAAGGAAUUGACGGGGGCCCGCACAAGCGGUGGAGCAUGUGGUUUAAUUCGAUGAUACGCGAGGAACCUUACCAGGGCUUAAAUGUAGAGUGACGUAUUUGGAAACAGAUAUUUCUUCGGACACUUUACAAGGUGCUGCAUGGUUGUCGUCAGCUCGUGCCGUGAGGUGUCAGGUUAAGUCCUAUAACGAGCGCAACCCCUGUUGUUAGUUGCCACCGAGUGAUGCCGGGAAUCUAACAAGACUGCCGGUGCAAACCCUGAGAAAAGGUGGGGAUAAACAUCAAUCAUUACGGGCCUUAAAUCCUGGGGUACACACUGGCUCAAUGGGCGGUACAAAAGAAGCCCCUGG
rnacentral:rRNA from 1 species